rnacentral:lncRNA from 1 species
GCAUUUUCACGUUGUUGCAUGGUUAUGGCGCUAGGGUUUCUGUUUUAGUGGAGAAGACGAUGACGUGUCGUCUUAUGACCCAUUAGAUCCAAGGCGCAUGUUUUAAUCGUGGCUGCCCAUUGCUAUUUUGUCCUCUAGUGACUUAAUGAAACGUGACCAGUUGAUACAAUGUUACAUAAUUCUUUUUAAUUGAAUGUUAUUUCAUUUUCUCACGCUGGAUUUAAUUUUGUUUUGGACCAUAGGCCUGUGCUAGUUGCUCUUCACACCCUCCCUUUCCUGGCCCAUCAGCACUAACACACUCUCUUUUCAUUUUCUUUUUUAAUUUCCAUUUAUUUUCUGUUUUGAUUUUAAUUAUUUUAAAAUAUUUUCUUGGUCCAUAAAAUUACCCAAAAAUAUUUUCCAUUUUUCUUAAUUCCUUAUUCAAUUUUAUUUAAUUUUUAUUUUUGAAUUUAUUUAAUGUUAAUAUUUUAUUUUAAUUAUUCAUUCUAAGUGGUUCAUUUUAGCACAUAUUUAAUUCUUGAUUUUAUUUUUAUAAGUUAAAAU